rnacentral:lncRNA from 1 species
GUGAGGGAAGUGGUUGGGAGGACAGGUGGGGUAAGGUACAGAGAAGAAUCCCGAGAAGAAACAGAGUCUAGGGAGGAUGCUGGUGUCAGUGGUGAGAGGGACUGUGUGAUGUGAGUUUUACGUGUCAACUAGGGCAGGCCGUGCCACCCAGAUAUGUGAUCAAACACCAGUCUAGAUGUCACUGUGAAGGUAUUUUUUAGGUGAUUCACAUUUAAAUUACACUAAGAGUAAAGUAGUUAUCCUCCAGGAUGUGGUUAGGCCUCAUCACAAAGGCCUUAAGAAGGAAAAAAACCAGAGGUCCCCUAAAGAGGAAUACAUUCUGCCUUCAGACCGACUUUGGACUUCAGCAGCAACACCAGCUCUUCCCUGGUCUCCAGCCUGUCUGCCUGCUGCGCAGACUUCAGCCUGGCCAGCCCUCAUAAUCAUGUCCUCAGCCUUAUUCCGGACCAUCAGUGCCCUUCUUCUUCCACCUGCCGCUCCAGGAGACUGGCCCCAUCAAAGUGGGUCAGUGCAGGCUCUCAUUUCAUCUGCACCCUACUGAUAAAACAGGUGGCACCAAGUGCUGAGCAGGUGCUAAGCAGGCUGUGGCUUAAGUUAUUACUCCUUAAAGAGUGACUAUUGAUGUUAUGGUGUCAAAGCCUUUGUACAAAUGUGUGACUAAGCUGAGGACCUCACAGUCAGGGCAGGUCCAUUCUCCUGCUAGUUGGGCUGGCCCCAAGUGAGCUACUCUGUUGGCCUGAGGACAAAGAAGCACAGUGGCUUUUCCCGAUGUCAUAGGAACAUCGGAGAAGUAAUCUAGAGGACCAGAUUGCUAGUUCUCUGGGGGGAGAAUGUCUCAUUUAUAUUGCAAUUUUUUAAAAAAAACAAAACAACAAAAAGCUUAAGAAUAACACAACAAACAGCUGUGUACAUACUCUGCAGUGUUAACAGAUGUAAUUUUUUUUCAUAAUUGCUUAAGAUCCUCUUUUAUGCAUUGCUGAUAUAUUUUAAAUUUCUUAAUUUCAAGAGCAGUACCAUUCCCCUCUCUCCCUCAUGGCCAACAACUAUCUUAAAUUUGAUGUGGUUCUAGUCCAUUCUCAUAUGCAUUCUUAAAUGAUUCAUACAAAUGGAAUAAUUCCAAUUGCAACCUGCUUCUUUUUUCCCACUCAAUAUGCUUCUGAGUUUCAGGUACAUCUAGGUCAUUCAUUUUAGCUAUUAUGUAUA